AACAAUGAUAUUAAUUUCUAAUAUAAUAAGAUUUAAUUUAAUCUGAAAAUAACAGUGACACAAAUAGCAGCGAUGACAGAUAAUAACAGUGAUAGAUAAAUAGUGAUAAUUAAAAAAUGAUUGAUGAAGAAAACUAUGUAAUCAUAUCUAACUUGAAUGCAAUACAAUUAUAUUUUAAGAUGAAACACGGAAUGAUACAUUAAAAAUUAAAAUGCUGCACAUCAGUUCAAGUGGCACAUCAGUUAGUUCAUCCCAGGAAAUGUAGCAACCGGAUCGGCAUUGAUGUGCAGAUUUCGUUGCGCAAUUCAUUACGUAAAUUACGACAAUGUAUAUUGCACGUAUUCAGAGGGGUACAUGUUACUUGUACUUCAACUCUUAAGUAGCAUUAUUAAUUAUAUUUGAGUAAUGCUAAAGUUGAAGAAUUUUGUUUCAUUAUUUCAUCUUUCACAAGAGGUAAAAGACAGAAUUAUUGUGGUACGUUGUCUUUACUUUGAGCUUAAAGCUAAUAACGUAGAAGUAUCUUUUCGAAGAAAAUAUUUAAAGACGAUUAUAGAAUUAUUUUAUGGAUAUAGUUACAUUUAACAUUUUGAUUAAAUCUUGAUUAAUUUAUAAUAUUUUAUAAUUUAUAUAUAAUAUUUGUUAAUAUCGUUAAUAUAAAAUUAUUUUUUUAAUAAUGAAAAAAUUAGACGAAUAUUAAAAUAAUUAAAUAUAAAAGUUUUAUAUAACUUUUCUUAGACAUUUCUUUUUUCACGACUUUUUUCGUGAACUGAAUAUCGAAAGUACAAAUCAUCUCAUAAGAUUUUCAUUCUCAAUGAAUAGAAUAUACUUCUUAUAGUAUUAUAUCUGUAUUCAAAUGUAUCAUUGCACAAAGAUAAUACUAGAUAUAUAUGUAUGCAUAUAUUGUGACAAAGGGUUUCAACCGAAGGAACGAAUUUGAGUCAGUGAACUGAUUGGCUGAACAAGGCAACCGGAAAUGAGCGUAAUAUUUACGCGUGACUAACCUUGGUGGUAGAGGUAGUGUUCGCUCCUUCAGGAAUCUUGUUCCAAUUCACAACACCUUGCUCGGGAAUACGUGACAAAAUGCCA